CCCAACUAUCCCUAUUAAUCAUUACGUCAAUCCUAGAAACCAACAAAAUAGGUUCGAUCGUCCUAUUUCAUUAUUCCAUGCUAAUGUAUUCAAGCGUUUGCUUGCUUUAAACACUCUAAUUUUUUCAAAGUAACAGUCCUGUUUCCCUGCAACACCAAAUUAAUGGCAUCACAGUUCCUCAAGAAGGAGGAAUCAGUAGGGCCAGUACAUACCAGUGGCACGACCGACCCACUGAUCCCGAAAUUCAACUACGAGCUUUUUAACUGCAACAACUUUAAUAUACGCUAUUGGAGCUGGAAUUACCGCGGCUGCUGGCACCAGACUUGCCCUCCAA
rnacentral:misc_RNA from 2 species